GCCGCCGCCGCCGGCCUUUAGAGCGCUCUCCAGGCUGCAAGGAGCAAAAAAAAAAACCCGGUUUCGUCACGCGCAGAGGGAGUCCCUCAGGGCAUUCCCACAUAGGCUUCCCCUGGCCGUAGAAGUGGGGCGAGACUCCUCAGUCAGACCCAGGAGCCCCGAGGAGGACUGAGCCCAGCACACCCACACCCCCGGGGCGAAGCCGCUGGGCCUGCCUGAGGCGAGUUCGCCUUUGAAACAUCUGGGCUCCAGGGUCUCUGUCAAUGGGAGACUGCACGGAUUUCGUGCUUAUUUUUUCAAGGUUUCCCUCUCAAGCCCCCAGAGAGGUCACUUUUGUUUAUGGCACCCGAGAGGUGUUGAGACUGUAGACUUGUGGGGGGGUUUUUUGGGCCUGGAGAAAUUUCCGUCCUUCUUCAAUGUGAUGUCAUUCGCGAAGCCUUCCAAUAUUUACAGUUGGUGGCUAUAGUUACCCCAAGUUGAUCAGUGAAAUUAGGAUCACUUCCAUCCGCGGUCCAAAAUAUUGGGAGUUUCACUCAUUUUCCUAAGUGAAACAAGACGAGGAAGCUAUUUAGCUGGAGCUCUGGGUUGAGACUGUAUCACCAAGUCACGAAUCUUUUCAGGACGAGGUAAAAAGCACAAGCCCAGGGGAAAAGAGUGCCUUGCAUCACCCAGCUGCUCAACUUUUUGGAUGACGUCAUUUCUGACAUAAAGGAGUUUCUUCACUUUGUGCACCAGCUGUCAGAAGCCUCAUGAUGGAACCUGUACAUCUGGAUGAUGGAACAGAAUGUAUGAAGGAAGGAAUAUGGAAAAAUCCUGUAGGGUCUGGCCAGAAGUACAGAUGCUCCUCAGGGACAUAAAACAUAACUGGAAGCAGGAAAUUAAAAGGUGCCCCAAUGAGAAGUUGUAAAUUUCACUGUUUUUCAUACAUAUUGAAAGGAACAAUAGACAAAAUAAUAACACUGAAAAUUAGUAUCAAAAUAAUAAUAAUGAAUAUUGUAAGCCUUUGGUUCUUGGAUUUCCCAAAAGGGAAGUGUUUUAUCUUUGGAAAUGAGCUUAUUGCACAACUAUCAAUCACAGACAAAAUUUUAUGCUUAAAAUGUUUUUCAAAAUGAUAUGUAUUUCUACAUAACUUCUAUAAUAUAGGAUUUUGAAGUAAAUAGAAGAGGCUAUUGGAGCUAUUGGAAUUCAUUGCAACACACCCCCCCGAAUCACUGUCUUUUUAAAAUUAAGCUAGGUAGUAAUGCAACAUUACACAAAACAUCUGGGGGGCGGUGUCUGGAUUGGGGAACUGUGCUCCAGAAUGUUGGGUUGCAUUUCUCACUAUACCUAAUGACCGGCCAUGCUUGCUGAAGCUUACCGAAGUUGGUUCUGUGACGUUUUGAGUGCCAUGCUUGAGUUGGAAAAUAAAGUUAGAUAAAAGACAAAUCCUUGGCUAUCAAAAGAGAGGACAGGACAUGAGAUAACAGACACAGCAUUUGAAGCAGGAUGCAAUUAAGGGAAAUGAUGUAUCAGUGAAUGGAAAUGACUGAGCCCUGGUGGCCACCUUGUUACAAGCUGCAGUUGUAUAAAUCAGAUGUUUCCAAGAGUUAGUCACCCUCUGAGUCCAUCCUUGGUUGUAUUAGUAAUGUUAGAUGAUGUAUAAAUAUGUUGCUCCUUAGUCUGGAAUGUUUGCUUGCAUAUCUUUCAAUUCUGCCAUCUGUUUAAGAUAUGUCUUAAUACUUCAAAAGCUAAAAUUCUUUCCCUUGAUAAAAAACAAAAAAAUAAAAUAAAAUCAGAAUUU